AAGACAAGGUGUGCCCGGACUGGAGACAGAAGGCAGUUGAAGAAGGCUUCUUAAUUAGUGAUUCAGGAGAAGAGUCGAGUGAUGCAGGGGCCAACUGCAGUGAAUUAGCUGACAAAGACAAUCAAAUGUCAGAGUAUGAAGCCGAAUAUGA